rnacentral:rRNA from 1 species
AUUGAACGCUGGCGGCAGGCCUAACACAUGCAAGUCGAGCGGAUGAAGGGAGCUUGCUCCUGGAUUCAGCGGCGGACGGGUGAGUAAUGCCUAGGAAUCUGCCUGGUAGUGGGGGAUAACGUCCGGAAACGGGCGCUAAUACCGCAUACGUCCUGAGGGAGAAAGUGGGGAUCUUCGGACCUCAAGCUAACCGAUGAGCCUAGGUCGGAUUAGCUAGUUGGUGGGGUAAAGGCCUACCAAGGCGACGAUCCGUAACUGGUCUGAGAGGAUGAUCAGUCACACUGGAACUGAGACACGGUCCAGACUCCUACGGGAGGCAGCAGUGGGGAAUAUUGGACAAUGGGCGAAAGCCUGAUCCAGCCAUGCCGCGUGUGUGAAGAAGGUCUUCGGAUUGUAAAGCACUUUAAGUUGGGAGGAAGGGCAGUAAGUUAAUACCUUGCUGUUUUGACGUUACCAACAGAAUAAGCACCGGCUAACUUCGUG